rnacentral:rRNA from 1 species
GAUCAUGGCUCAGGAUGAACGCUGGCGGCGUGCUUAACACAUGCAAGUCGAACGAAGCACUUUAAUUGAUUUCUUCGGAAUGAAGUUUUUGUGACUGAGUGGCGAACGGGUGAGUAACACGUGGGUGAUCUGCCCCGCACUGUGGGAUAAGCCUGGGAAACUGGGUCUAAUACCACAUACGACCAUGGCGUAGGGGUCAUGGUGGAAAGCUUUAUUGCGGUGUGGGAUGAGCCCGCGGCCUA